rnacentral:rRNA from 1 species
CUUUACUAUAGCCUGGAAUUGGGUUCGGGCUUUUCUUGCGCAGUCUAGGUGGGAGGCUAUGAAGAUUUCCUUCCGGGGAAGUUGGAGCCAUCAGUGAGAGACCACUCUGGAGAGGCUAGAAUCCUAAUGGUGAUCCUUGAAUCAGGACACUUGACAGUUUCAGGUGGGCAGUUUUUCUGGGGCGGAAGCCUCAUAAAGGGUAACUGAGGCGCGCAAAGGUCCCCUCAGUCUGGACGGAAAUCAGACAACGAGUGUAAAGGCAAAAGGGGGCUUGACUGCAAGACCUACAAGUCGAGCAGGAGCGAAAACUGGCCUUAGUGAUCCGACGGUACCGCGUGGAAGGGCCGUCGCUCAACGAAUAAAAGUUA